ACAUUGCGGCAGCUUACCAUGCAGUCGAGCGGUAAGGCCUUUCGGGGUACACGAGCGGCGAACGGGUGAGUAACACGUGGGUGAUCUGCCCUGCACUUCGGGAUAAGCCUGGGAAACUGGGUCUAAUACCGGAUAUGACCUCCUAUCGCAUGGUGGGUGGUGGAAAGAUUUAUCGGUGCAGGAUGGGCCCGCGGCCUAUCAGCUUGUUGGUGGGGUAAUGGCCUACCAAGGCGACGACGGGUAGCCGACCUGAGAGGGUGACCGGCCACACUGGGACUGAGACACGGCCCAGACUCCUACGGGAGGCAGCAGUGGGGAAUAUUGCACAAUGGGCGAAAGCCUGAUGCAGCGACGCCGCGUGAGGGAUGACGGCCUUCGGGUUGUAAACCUCUUUCAGCAGGGACGAAGCGCAAGUGACGGUACCUGCAGAAGAAGCACCGGCUAACUACGUGCCAGCAGCCGCGGUAAUACGUAGGGUGCAAGCGUUGUCCGGAAUUACUGGGCGUAAAGAGUUCGUAGGCGGUUUGUCGCGUCGUUUGUGAAAACCAGCAGCUCAACUGCUGGCUUGCAGGCGAUACGGGCAGACUUGAGUACUGCAGGGGAGACUGGAAUUCCUGGUGUAGCGGUGAAAUGCGCAGAUAUCAGGAGGAACACCGGUGGCGAAGGCGGGUCUCUGGGCAGUAACUGACGCUGAGGAACGAAAGCGUGGGUAGCGAACAGGAUUAGAUACCCUGGUAGUCCACGCCGUAAACGGUGGGCGCUAGGUGUGGGUUCCUUCCACGGAAUCCGUGCCGUAGCUAACGCAUUAAGCGCCCCGCCUGGGGAGUACGGCCGCAAGGCUAAAACUCAAAGGAAUUGACGG
rnacentral:rRNA from 1 species